GACGAACGCUGGCGGCGCGCUUAACACAUGCAAGUCGAGCGAUAACCAUGGCUUCGGCCAUGGGGAGAGCGGCGAACGGGUGAGUAACACGUGAGCGAUCUGCCCUCGACACCGGGAUAGCCCGGGGAAACCCGGAUUAAUACCGGAUGGCCUCUCGAGCCCACGGGCUCGUUAGAAAAGAUGGCUUCGGCUUUCGGUCGAGGAGGAGCUUGCGGCGGAUUAGCUUGUUGGUGGGGUAACGGCUCACCAAGGCGACGAUCCGUAGCUGGUCUGAGAGGACGAUCAGCCACACUGGGACUGAGACACGGCCCAGACUCCUACGGGAGGCAGCAGUGGGGAAUCUUGCGCAAUGGGCGAAAGCCUGACGCAGCGACGCCGCGUGAGGGAAGAAGGCCUUCGGGUUGUAAACCUCUUUCAGGAGGGACGAAGCCACUCGGGUUAAUACCCCAGAGGGUGACGGUACCUCCAGAAGAAGCCCCGGCUAACUACGUGCCAGCCGCCGCAGUAAUAC
rnacentral:rRNA from 1 species